GACGAACGCUGGCGGCGUGCUUAACACAUGCAAGUCGAACGGUAAGGCCCUUCGGGGUACACGAGUGGCGAACGGGUGAGUAACACGUGGGUGAUCUGCCCUGCACUUCGGGAUAAGCCUGGGAAACUGGGUCUAAUACCGGAUAGGACCACUGCCUGCAUGGGUGGUGGUGGAAAGCUUUUGCGGUGUGGGAUGGGCCCGCGGCCUAUCAGCUUGUUGGUGGGGUGAUGGCCUACCAAGGCGACGACGGGUAGCCGGCCUGAGAGGGUGACCGGCCACACUGGGACUGAGAUACGGCCCAGACUCCUACGGGAGGCAGCAGUGGGGAAUAUUGCACAAUGGGCGCAAGCCUGAUGCAGCGACGCCGCGUGAGGGAUGACGGCCUUCGGGUUGUAAACCUCUUUCAGCACCGACGAAGCGCAAGUGACGGUAGGUGCAGAAGAAGGACCGGCCAACUACGUGCCAGCAGCCGCCGCAGUAA
rnacentral:rRNA from 1 species